UACGUAGGUGGCAAGCGUUGUCCGGAAUUACUGGGCGUAAAGGGCGUGUAGGCGGCCAUUUAAGUCAGAUGUGAAAUCCCCGGGCUUAACCUGGGAACUGCAUUUGAGACUGGAUGGCUUGAGGACCGGAGAGGGUAGUGGAAUUCCUAGUGUAGCGGUGAAAUGCGUAGAUAUUAGGAGGAACACCAGUGGCGAAGGCGACUACCUGGACGGCACCUGACGCUGAGGCGCGAAAGCUAGGGUAGCAAACGGG
rnacentral:rRNA from 1 species